GAUCCUGGCUUAGGACGAACGCUGGCGGCGUGCCUAAUACAUGCAAGUCGAACGGCUUUUCUAUGGAAGCUUGCUUCCACUGAGAAGAUAGUGGCGAACGGGUGAGUAACACGUGGGGUAACCUGCCCAUAAGAGGGGGGAUAACAUCCGGAAACGGGUGCUAAUACCGCAUAGUUUUCUUGAUCGCAUGAUCGGGAAAGGAAAGACGGCCUUUGUGCUGUCGCUUAUGGAUGGACCCGCGGCGUAUUAGUUAGUUGGUGAGGUAACGGCUCACCAAGACGAUGAUACGUAGCCGACCUGAGAGGGUGAUCGGCCACAUUGGGACUGAGACACGGCCCAAACUCCUACGGGAGGCAGCAGUAGGGAAUCUUCCGCAAUGGACGAAAGUCUGACGGAGCAACGCCGCGUGAGUGAAAGAAGGUUUUCGGAUCGUAAAACUCUGUUGUCAGAGAAGAACAAGUUGGAGAGUAACUGCUCCAGCCUUGACGGUAUCUGACCAGAAAGCCACGGCUAACUACGUGCCAGCCGCCGC
rnacentral:rRNA from 1 species